GCAAAAGCUCAAAUUUGAAAUCUGACGUUCAUCUUGACGUUCGAGUUGUAAUUUGGAGGAACGCCUUCGGGAACCGACGCCGUCCUAAGUUCUUUUGGAACUAGACAUCACAGAGGGUGAGAAUCCCGUGCCUGGGCGGCAGUCAGGUUUCCAUACGAAGUGUUUCCGACGAGUCGAGUUGUUUGGGAAUGCAGCUCAAAAUGGGUGGUAAAUUUCAUCUAAAGCUAAAUACAGGCGAGAGACCGAUAGCGCACAAGUAGAGUGAUCGAAAGAUGAAAAGCACUUUGAAAAGAGAGUUAAACAGUACGUGAAAUUGUUGAAAGGGAAGCGCUUGAGAUUGAACCUUCGACAGGAUGGAGCUGUGAGCGGGGUCUGGUUUACGCCAGGAGUCUGCUAUACACCCCUCCAUCCUCCCUCCAACCACCAUCGGUUCCGGCGGCGAGAAAAACGACCGGGGAAUGUGGCUCCCCUCGGGGAGUGUUUAUAGACCUGGCCGAUUUUGCGCCAGCUGGGACCGAGGCAAGAGCGAGCUGUGGUAUUUAUACCCCAUGACCUCAAGGAUGUGUGGCAUGUCGAUCUUAAGCGACCCGUCUUG
rnacentral:rRNA from 1 species